rnacentral:rRNA from 1 species
AUGUCUGGGCUUAAGAUCAAUUUUGAGAAGAGUGAAAUAUUUAGUAUCGGGGGGGAUAAUGAUACUGAUUUGGUGUAUGCCAACAUGUUUGGGUGUCAAGUGGGCACACUUCCCAUGAAAUAUCUGGGAGUCCCUGUUACUUAUUCUACCCUCAAGAAUGCGGAUCUAGAUUUCCUUGACGGAAAAAUGAUCAAAAAACUUGAUGCCUGGGUAGCAUAUGCAGCAUCUUCUGGAGCUAGACUAACGUUGCUAGGGUCCAGUUUGGAUGGAAUUCCCUCUUUCCUCAUGUCAAUGUUCCUUUUUAAUAAGACCUUUAUUGAGAAGCUGGAUAAACAUCGCAGACGUUUCUUUUGGAGGAGGAAAAAUAAGAAACAUGGAUACCAUAUGGUUAAGUGGACGAGGAUAUGUCGAUCGAAAAGGAUUGGGGGAUUAGGGAUUAAAGAUCUUCAUAAACAAAAUAUUGCCCUACUUGUUAAGUGGUGGUGGAAGUUAGAAACAAGUGAUGGGCUAUGGCAGCGUAUUGUAAGAGUUAGAUACUUCAGGAACAAAACAGUGGCUACCAUUCGGAGCCGCUUUUCGGACUCUCCUUGCUGGAAAGCAAUUAUGAAGGUCAAGGAUUCUUAUAUGGCAGGAAGAAAAGUUAAAAUCGAAAGUGCAAACCUGGCUAGGGUCUGGUAUGAUCCGUGGGCUGAGAAUAUUGCGUUGAAAGAUCACUUUCCUGAUCUAUUUGGUAUUUGCCAGGAGCAGGAAUGCACGGUUGCAUCUUGGGCGACUAACAACUAUGAGCUGGGCUUUAGACGUAGACUGGUUGGGGUGUUGGGUGAGCAG